rnacentral:rRNA from 1 species
UCCUACGGGAGGUAGCAGUGGGGAAUUUUCCGCAAUGGGCGAAAGCCUGACGGAGCAAUACCGCGUGAGGGAGGAAGGCUCUUGGGUCGUAAACCUCUUUUCUCAGGGAAGAAAAGAAUGACGGUACCUGAGGAAUAAGCAUCGGCUAACUCCGUGCCAGCAGCCGCGGUAAUACGGAGGAUGCAAGCGUUAUCCGGAAUGAUUGGGCGUAAAGCGUCCGCAGGUGGCUAUGUAAGUCUGCUGUUAAAGAGUCUAGCUCAACUAGAUAAAAGCAGUGGAAACUACAUGGCUAGAGUGCGUUCGGGGCAGAGGGAAUUCCUGGUGUAGCGGUGAAAUGCGUAGAGAUCAGGAAGAACACCGGUGGCGAAAGCGCUCUGCUAGGCCGCAACUGACACUGAGGGACGAAAGCUAGGGGAGCGAAUGGGAUUAGAUACCCCAGUAGUCCUAGCCGUAAACGAUGGAUACUAGGCGUGGCUUGUAUCGACCCGAGCCGUGCCGUAGCUAACGCGUUAAGUAUCCCGCCUGGGGAGUACGCACGCAAGUGUGAAACUCAAAGGAAUUGACGGGG